UAAUCAGUUUUCCUCGGCAGUUAACUGCAGCCGGAUUUCAAAUUCCUCGACAAUUUCGGCAGUUAACUGCCGAGGGG
rnacentral:pre_miRNA from 1 species